rnacentral:rRNA from 1 species
CACGUAGGAGACGAGCGUUAUCCGGAGUUACUGGGCGUAAAGGGCGUGUAGGCGGUUAGUUAAGUCUGGCGUGAAAGCUCUCGGCUAAACCGGGAGAGGUCGUUGGAUACUGGCAAACUAGAGGACGGUAGAGGCGUGUGGAAUUCCGGGUGUAGUGGUGAAAUGCGUAGAGAUCCGGAGGAACACCAGUGGCGAAGGCGACACGCUGGGCCGUACCUGACGCUAAAGCGCGACAGCAUGGGGAGCAAACGGG